rnacentral:tRNA from 1 species
AGGUAAUGAAGUAAAAAAUAUUACACUUAGUUUCGACCUAAGAUUAGAAAAGAUUUCCUUACCUA